ensembl:lncRNA
CCAGGUGACAGAGCUGUUGCAGGUGCUGAUUACUGUGAGCCAGAGCCAUAAUGUUGUUGUGCACUGAACAGAACGGAAUUGGCCAGGUGAACCUUGUUGGGGUAUGAAAAAGGAUGGCGAGCCAAUGAACGGCUAGGAGCAGGACACAUUCUGCAAUUGACGCUUCCACCGGUUGGGUAGGAAGCUAUCAAAGACAACGCUCUUUCCCCAUUUUCCAAAUACACUGAUUUCCGCAAUCAUACACACCAUUCCCUUCAUUUAUGGACAAUAGCGCUUGGACAUCUCUCAUGGACAUUCAGAUUAAACUCAUGGACUUCAGUGUGGAUCAGUGGAUUUGAUAUUAACAUGUGGUGUUUAUGGGGGAACUGUUUUUUUGAGAACCUGUAUUGCUUGGUAUAAGCCAGACAAAUCUGUUUAGUUGUCUUUGUGCACCCUCACUGAGUUUUUGAUUAAUUGGAUAGCUACAGCAGGAGUGAUUAUUUAAGUUUUCCUUUUCUUGUUAUUCUUUUUUGGGGUUUGGUUAAAUACAUGGUACCUGCAAAACCAUUUUUUGUGUUGUGUAUUUAUUAAUUACUGCCCAUCAGCUCCAGUGGUGUCCCUAAAUCUUCUGAUUAAUAAUAACCAUAAAAUUACACUCAAUCCCUAGCCUGUAUUAAUUCAUUAGCGCUACAUCAGUGUUACAGGAGGCAGAGCCUUCAGUUUUCAGGC